GUAGGGUGCGAGCGUUGUCCGGAUUUAUUGGGCGUAAAGGGCUCGUAGGUGGUUGAUCGCGUCGGAAGUGUAAUCUUGGGGCUUAACCCUGAGCGUGCUUUCGAUACGGGUUGACUUGAGGAAGGUAGGGGAGAAUGGAAUUCCUGGUGGAGCGGUGGAAUGCGCAGAUAUCAGGAGGAACACCAGUGGCGAAGGCGGUUCUCUGGGCCUUUCCUGACGCUGAGGAGCGAAAGCGUGGGGAGCGAACAGGCUUAGAUACCCUGGUAGUCCACGCUGUAAACGGUGGGUACUAGGUGUGGGGUCCCAUUCCACGGGUUCCGUGCCGUAGCUAACGCUUUAAGUACCCCGCCUGGGGAGUACGGCCGCAAGGCUA
rnacentral:rRNA from 1 species